rnacentral:lncRNA from 1 species
UCCUUAUACAUGCCACUCACUUGAUAAUUCUAGCAUAUGUGUUUAUACUGUCAAGGUGUUGGCUUGAUAGUGUGAUGCUGCCUCCGACGGUCUCCAACCCUGAGCUAACCUGACAACACUAAAAGAAAUGGAAAGGAGGGGGUAAGCUUUAUGCUUAGUAAGCUCACAUGAAAUAAUAAUAAGCAAUUUACUAACAUGCUUCCCACAAUAAAACUAACUUAUUUGUACAUUUACACAUGUUCUAGUUAAGCUGUUUUCUUGAGUAACAGUCACUAAAUCAUUUAUAUUUAGAGCUACGAAACUCCAAAUUAAGAUCCGUAAAUUUUUCCAAAAACUAGACUCAUAUAUAUUUCUACCAUAAAGUUUUCAUAAUUUUUGGUCCAGCCAAUAAGUACAGUUUAUUAUUCAAAUUCUCCCCUGUUUCGCUGUUUAACAGUUUCAACCUUUCUUCACUAAAAUUUAUUUAUCUCAAAGUACAAAACUCGUAUGAUGUUCUCGUUUAUUUUUAUUAAAAGUAGACUCAUCCAAGAUUCUAGGCAUAUAAAUUAUACCCCAAAAUUAUUUUUCUAUAACUUUUAACAAUUUUUCCAAGUCAGAACAGGGGAUCUCGAUUUCAUUCAGAUCACUAUCUCACAAGAAUUCAAAUAUCACAUAAUAUGGAAUUCUUUUGCUUCCCCUGUUUAUUUUAUGUGAAAAUAGACUCAAUAAAAUUUAAUUACAUAUUUUAUUUGAAAUUAAUUCAACUUCCACAAUUUUUGGUAAAUUUUCAAAUUCAUGCACUGCUGCUGUCCAACACUGUUUUACUACUAAAGUUCACUUUUGCACAAUUUCACUUAAUCCAUUCCAUUUUACCGAGGCUCGCUCAAAUAUCGAACAUAUUGCUCAUAAAUUUAAAUAAACAUAUACUUGCACUUGUUCAUCACAUAAUCACUUUCACAUUUAUUUUCACUUAAUCGAUUUCCCGUUGAACUCAUCGGAAUAAUAACAGAUACACAAUUGCCUGUACAUUUUCUCAUUUCCACACUUGUAGCCGAAGCUAUCUGGUACGCAUAGUAGCCUGCACUGAGUACUACACAUGCGACCAAUUAUCCGGUACACGUAGUAGCCUGCACUUAGUACUACACACGUGACCUAACCAUCUGAUACUACACACGUGAUCGAAGUUAUCAGGUACGCAUAGUAGCCUGCACUUAGUACUACACAUGCGACCAACAAUCUGGUACACGUAGUAGCCUGCACUUAGAACUACACACGUGACCUUAUAAUAGCUCAUUUGUAUCGUUUCUAUUCCGAAGGUUCAAUCGAGAAAUUCCUCACUUUUCAACAUUUUAUUAAAUUGGCCGUAAUCAAUUUAAAUUCAUAAUUUACAUCAAAUAACCAUUUGAUAGGCAGCCACAUUUCAUAUGAUAUCAAAAUAUAUUGACAUAAAAAGAAUUGAUAGAUUAUUUAUAUACGAACUUACUCGAAGUGUCGAUCUCACUAUCCAUAGUACAAUUGUCCAUUCAUAGUAUAAUAAGACACAACUCAAAUAGCAAAUCAGCUUUUAAGAAUUUACAUAACAUAAAUCACAUAUUUCAUAUAUCACUUGUCAUGUAUCAUUAUUUUCUUGCAUUCAAUGUAACAUUCUUUCAUGUCAUAUUUCCACAUCAUAAACACCAUUCCAUCAACUUUUCCAAUAUAUUAAAUCAUACAAUAUAUGCAAUAAUAGUAAGAAAUAUAAUUCAAACAUAACAUUGCAUUAUUAUUAUCAUACGAACUUACCUCGAUACAAAAUAUUAGCAAUCGAGCCUAUUCCUUGUAAACUUUGUUUUUCCCUCGAUCACGACUUAAAUCUCGUUUUUCUUGAUCUAUAAUACCAAAUUAAUUUAUUUAAUACAUACAUUCAUCAAAACAGCCUUUAAUACGAACUUUGGCAAAAUUAUCAUUUUGCCCCUAAACUUUUGUAUAAUUACACUUUUGCCCCUAGGCUCGGGAAUUAAACUUCAUCCCUUGUUCUUAUGUUUUAUGAUAUGCUGAUCAUUUUUCCCUUCUAUGACAACAUCAAAUUCUCACUCUAACAUGCACUUAUGACUAUUAGGUAUUUUUACCGAUUAAGCCAUUUUACUCGUUUUCACUUAAAACCGAGUAGCAUAAGUUGUCUAACAUAAUUUAAAACCUCAUAUUCUAUCAUAAAACACCAAAAUACACAAAUUUAACCUAUGGGUAUUUUUCCAAAUACGAACCCUAGGUUGAAUUAUUGCUAGCAUAAGCUUAAUCAAGUUACCGGGAUUCCAAAAACGUAAAGAACUUGAAAAACGGGGCUAGAAUGGACUUACUAUUGAGCUUGGAAAGCUUGAAAACCCUAGCCAUGGCUUCCCCC